UGGGCACCCCCUAAAAGCAGGGACCCCGAGGUGGAGAUGCUCCCCGCGACAGCGUGCCGGCAUAGCAACGACACCCAGCUAACAGGGGGCUGACAAUAAGGACUGACCCAUUCGAGAGACCCCUGCGUCCCACAGACUCCUGCACAGUGGAUCAAACCCAGUGCCUUACAUGUAUGAGCUUGGCUCUACCGCUGAGCCAUGCCUCCAACACAUUGAUGUAUUUUCAAAUCUAAGAGAGUGUUUUCCAUUGUGAAUUAAGGAUAAUUCAAGGCCCUUUACAGAACUCAUUACAGCGCAGGAUCCGCGGUUUUCCUGAGCGCAAAAUGGAGCCGGCGAUCCAGCUGAAACAGGACGCUUUCGCACGCUUGCGGGAGACCCCAGGGGGCGGGGGCGGCGACCCCCGCCCACCGCAGAUAGAUAUUUAAACCCACCUCCCCCACGUGUGCUUCCCUUUGGAUCCGGCUGCGGAGCGAGCAUGAUGGAAGAGCCCAAGGGAGCGCCCUUGGACUCCAGGCAGCCCACUGAACUAAUUCCGGCAUGGGACCAGAGACCCCACGGUGCGCUGAAACAGUGGGAACCGGGCAUCCCCCAAUUCUUUUAACCUGUCUCUCUCUCUCAACUCCUCCCUCCUGAACACAGCGCAGGACUUCUCCAUCUUAUGAGCACCAUAAAAGGGUAAAAGUUUGUAGUGAUGUUAUUUCUGGUUGUACUUUCCCUGGACUUUAUACAGAAACCCAAAACUGCGCGGCCGAGGUAGCGGCCGCGCAACCUAAUGUCAUCUUAGCAUCAGCAAUAUGUAAUGGUUCGCUUUUAAUGGGUCGGACUUUUGUGGGAGAUCCUAACAAGAAUAGUAAGUCUGUUGCUGAAAUAUUGAAGGCAAUCAAAGUGGUAGCCAUCUCUCUAGACUAAACUAAGCUAUAUCCCUACGCCAGCUGAGAAGAAAUUUUCUUCUUUCUCGGGAAGAAACGCGGCGUGUCGUCAACUACAAUGUGAUGUCCAUUAAGCAAACAGACCUGGUGGCGUGGGAAUGGGAUAUAAGGGGAAAAAUUAUGUACAUGGAACAGUGGGACGCUGGUGGAAUCUUGAGCCGGAGCCGAUACCAGCGCAAGACCUUCGGUUCCAGAAACUGCUUGCAGACACCCUACUAGUCUAUCAACUAAGCCAGAGCCCCACGUCUGCUGAUGACGGGAAAUAACCAUCCUUUUCGUUUUUUGUUUUCGUUUUUUUUUCCCUUGUCAGGCAGCGUGGCGAUUACUAAACAGGCGUGAACUCGGUGGCGCGGGGCAAGGGGGAAAAAGAAAAGUUAUGUAACAAACAGCGGGACUUAAUAUCUCUAUAUUCUUAGUAGUGGAGAACUAUCAAAUGCCUCCUUGGCAAUAGGACUGCUUUUCUUUUUGGGGGGAAACCCCAACAAUGGUAGUGAGUUGUGUGUUGAAACAUGGAAUGUAAUCGAGAUAAGG